rnacentral:rRNA from 1 species
ACACAUGCAAGUCGAACGAGAAUCUACUGAAAGAGUUUUCGGACAAUGGAUGUAGAGGAAAGUGGCGGACGGGUGAGUAACGCGUGAGGAACCUGCCUUGAAGAGGGGGACAACAGUUGGAAACGACUGCUAAUACCGCAUGACGCAUAGAGGUCGCAUGAUCUUUAUGCCAAAGAUUUAUCGCUUCAAGAUGGCCUCGCGUCUGAUUAGCUGGUUGGCGGGGUAACGGCCCACCAAGGCGACGAUCAGUAGCCGGACUGAGAGGUUGAACGGCCACAUUGGGACUGAGAUACGGCCCAGACUCCUACGGGAGGCAGCAGUGGGGAAUAUUGGGCAAUGGGCGCAAGCCUGACCCAGCAACGCCGCGUGAAGGAAGAAGGCUUUCGGGUUGUAAACUUCUUUUAAGAGGGAAGAGCAGAAGACGGUACCUCUAGAAUAAGCCACGGCUAACUACGUACCAGCAGCCGCGGUAAUACGUAGGUGGCAAGCGUUGUCCGGAUUUACGGGGUGUAAAGGGCGUGCAGCCGGGUCUGCAAGUCAGAUGUGAAAUCCAUGGGCUCAACCCAUGAACUGCAUUUGAAACUGUAGAUCUUGAGUGUCGGAGGGGCAAUCGGAAUUCCUAGUGUAGCGGUGAAAUGCGUAGAUAUUAGGAGGAACACCAGUGGCGAAGGCGGAUUGCUGGACGAUAACUGACGGUGAGGCUCGAAAGUGUGGGUAGCAAACAGGAUUAGAUACCCUGGUAGUCCACACCGUAAACGAUGAUUACUAGGUGUUGGAGGAUUGACCCCUUCAGUGCCGCAGUUAACACAAUAAGUAAUCCACCUGGGGAGUACGACCGCAAGGUUGAAACUCAAAGGAAUUGACGGGGGCCCGCACAAGCAG